UCCAAAAUAUUAGCAGAGAUACAGGUCUGAGAAAAUUGACGUAAGAUAUUAUAACUGGAAGAAGCAAGGACUUUAGGAAGGUUGCAUGACACUACUAGUAUCAAAGAGCUUUGCCUCAGAAAGAAUGGGUUGAUCUUAUCAGCUACGACUAUGUUCUGGUUGCAUCCGCAUAACUUCUGAGGAAGCCUAUCACCAUUUUGUUCCUGGUUUCUUAAGUAAUCGUAUUUUCCUGUUGUCUUUUUAGAAUCAGAUGCCAACCUGGAUAGAAGGUCAAACAUGGGAUCAAGCCAAAACAGGUAUGUGCGGGAACAAGGGGGAGCCUGAAGGAGCAGAGAUGGAGUGACAGUACUAGGCAGACAUGUAGGCGCUGUAAAAACACAUCAACAUAGGGAAAGGUUACACAUUCAUGUAGGUAAAGGAGAUGUUGCACAGCAAUAAAGGCUGUGGGGCUACCCUAUCUUCCUAGUAACAACCCAGAUCUGCCAGACACUGCAUGGCCUAAGGCACGUAAUUUAAAAGCCUCAUCCUUCCCAGCUGUGUACCUGGAAUACCCUAACAUAAGGCCCUGGCAUACUGCAAGACUGUCUGCCCUAUGCAGCUGCAAUGCAACUCCCCCAACAUUAGCAGGUAUUCCAACUGGUAAACUCUUGGAAAGAUGCAGCCAUAAUGUGGAUCUAGGAGCUGCUCAGCUGGUCUCUACUCAUGUGGCAAGGCAAUGCUGGGAAGUGGCCCAAAUAAUAAUAAUCCAGAGUCUUCAGUUCUUACAGUAGGAUGCUGCCCUAAAAUGCAUUGCUUGCUGCUAGUGGAUUCCUACCUGGCAGCAAAGAAGGCAUCAGGAAGUCAUCACAGCAGCAAGAAUCAUACAUUUGUUCUGUUAAUUCACUUAGGAAAAACAGAUACCUCCAAAGAAAUGCAGAUACAUCUAGGAAAAGUUAAGUGGAAGGAACUUCAUUAAUGUACUUUCAGCAGCUCUAUUAAUAAUUUUCUAGAAUUCUUCUAAUUUUUAUGUGGGUGUCUCAGCUCAGCUUUUACAGCGAUGCUAUGAAUCAUCCCAGGUAAAACCAAAGCCAGCAAAUUAUUGUUAACCUAUGAUUUUUCUUUCUUUUCAGAGAUGACAUCAACGUACCAGGAAAAUAAAGUACAAAUGAUCAAUAAACCUUUCGCAAUCAACAGUUA